UACGUAGGGAGCAAGCGUUGUCCGGAAUCAUUGGGCGUAAAGCGCGCGUAGGCGGCCCUGUAAGUCCGUUGUGAAAGUCAAAGGCUCAACCUUUGAAAGCCGAUGGAUACUGUGAAGCUAGAGUACGGAAGAGGCGAGUGGAAUUCCUGGUGUAGCGGUGGAAUGCGCAGAUAUCAGGAGGAACACCAAUAGCGAAGGCAGCUCGCUGGGACGUUACUGACACUGAGGCGCGAAAGCGUGGGGAGCGAACAGG
rnacentral:rRNA from 1 species